rnacentral:rRNA from 1 species
UACGGGGGGAGCAAGCGUUGUCCGGAAUUAUUGGGCGUAAAGAGCGUGUAGGCGGAUAUUUAAGUCAGAUGUGAAAACUGGCGGCUCAACCGUGAGACUGCAUCUGAUACUGGAUAUCUUGAGGGUAAGAGAGGGCAGUGGAAUUCCUAGUGUAGCGGUGAAAUGCGUAGAUAUUAGGAGGAACACCAGUGGCGAAGGCGACUGCCUGGCUUACAACUGACGCUGAGACGCGAAAGCGUGGGGAGCAAACAGG